AAACCUAUAAUCACAAUCUAAAAUACUUAAUUAAUCUAAUAUCCUAUGAGGGAUUAAACUAGAAAUAAUGUGGAAAUAAAUGGAUGAAUAAGGUGGUGCUAGAGGGGGCAUGCCCACUGAUCAGACAAUGGGGGAUAUGAAAGAUUCCCCUGAGCUUCGGGCCCUAGAUCCAAACAAAACAAAACUCAAAUGGCUCGAGAAUGGAUAUGCGACCAAGUAUCACCGGGUUAGACAAGAGGCUUCUUUGUUGCGCUCUUGACACAUUCACACGCUUCUGCAACAUUCAUGCUUCUCAAGAUCAAUCUAGAAAUAUGCUCCAGAAUCACGUUUCAGAAUUGAAAAUAAGUCGAUCGUUCACUCUUCAUCUUUACUUCACCUGGCUCACGCAGAUUCAAGAUGAAAAUGAAAAGAGCGAGAACUCACCGUAUCAGCGUCGGCAACGAACUUUUCCUGGAUUGCUUUAUCUUUUUCUCCUUGCUUUGUAUCGACUAAUCUUUUUCUUCUUCUAUAAUCCUCUUAGUCAAUAGAUGUUGAUUAUUGUUGAUGCUUGUUGUUGAGUUGCCUACGAAGAUGAUGAAUCAACCAAGAAUCCAGAUUAGCCUUCAUGAAAUCUCGAACAAAUCUAUGUCCGAUCUAAAGUCUAACAAAAUCGAAAUAAAUUCGACACAAGCUCUGGUUCUGUUUGGUUUUGCAGGGUUUAGCUAUUUCUUAGAGCCCGAAGAAGCUGGACUUGGUGGCACAUGAGGAGUAGUUGGCUUAGCUAGAUUUAGCUUUAUCACAAUUGGCUUGCAGAACCUAUCAGUAGCCUCAACAUUCUUUCCUAUUUCUGCUGACAAGAGUACAAGGAUUACUAGGAAAGUAAGGCUUGAAGGUAGGUUAGGAAAGGUGUGCAAGCUUUACAACACGAAUAGAUGGGGUUAUCAUGGAAUCCUUGGGAUGGCUUGCAUUGGCUAUGAAACUUUUUGGAAUUGGGUAAGGGUCAAAGUUAUCUUGGAAAUCAUUAUGGAGUUAGAGACUAUGGCUUGAGCAAUUGGAGUGCAUUGCUUGGAAUGUAUCAUUGGCUUUUAUGGUCAUGUUGUAAUUUUAAAUGUUGAUUUGCAAUUGAAAUAUGUAAAUUUGGAGUGUAUGGUUGUAAUUGAAAUGGGUUUAAAAGUAUUGACAUUGUUGUAAUGAAUAUAAUUGGAAUUGUUGUAGAGUAAUGUAUGGAAAUUGGUUUGUGAAGUGAAAUGUAAUAGUUUGAAUGGAAA